UUUGCUGGAGAUGUGAAAGAAUGUUCUGGAAAGCAUCUCUUGCCAGAGUUCUGUCGGUAUGUUGUUUACAGAUUUCUCCAGUCACAGAGUGGGGUCUGACAAAUGCUUUUUUUAAAACAAAUCAGCCGACCCAUCAAGCAUCCCCCUGGAAUCCUGCUGUGCAACAGCCUGUGGAGACUAUGAGUCCUUUUGUUCCAUUUUCAAAUCCAAGAAGCGUGUUCGAACCUCCAGUGUCCAAGGUCGGUGUCCCACAAGAUGCUAAUUUUACCGAUGCUGAGCAGCAACAUUUUCCCUUUUCAUCCAAACAACCAUGGCUUUGGGAGUCUCCUGUAACCAUAUUACCUUCAUCGACUGGUGGCGCGUUCAUGACGAGCUCAGAUUUUCUGCGCACAUCAAAGCAGAACUACUUGCUGCCUGAAAAAAAACAACUCAGCCUACUCAAGAUGGAAGCGACUAUUCUACACUGCACCACUGAACGACCACAGGAACUGCACAAUUUUUUCAACCCAAAUGCUGAUGAAAUUUCUGAAGACAGUCUCUCCCAAAGCUACUCUCUGGAAGAGCCUCAGGAUUACAGAUGCGAGGCAUCGAAGCCGGAGGGCUUUGCGGACGUGAUCGAACCUCAUCCAAGGGUUUUCUGAGCAGCACAACUCAAGUCGGUUCCUCACCACCAGGUCACUAUAUCCUACUUACUGUUUCUAUUUUCCACGAAUUUCUGUAUGCAACUUGUGUCUGAAUCU
rnacentral:lncRNA from 1 species